GACACGCUGGCGGCGUGCUUAAUACAUGCAAGUCGAGCGAGGCCUUGGAAUUGGAGUCCUUCGGGAUGAAGAGUCCUUGGCCUAGCGGCGGACGGGUGAGUAACGCGUGGGCAACCUACCCCAAAGUCCGGGAUAACAGUGGGAAACCGCUGCUAAUACCGGAUGACUUUACCUGAGGGCAUCCUCGGGUAAAGAAAGGUUACGCUUUGGGAUGGGCCCGCGUCCCAUUAGCUAGUUGGUGAGGUAACGGCUCACCAAGGCCACGAUGGGUAGCCGGCCUGAGAGGGUGAACGGCCACACUGGGACUGAGACACGGCCCAGACUCCUACGGGAGGCAGCAGUAGGGAAUAUUGCGCAAUGGGCGGAAGCCUGACGCAGCGACGCCGCGUGAGCGAAGAAGGCCUUCGGGUCGUAAAGCUCUGUCCUUGGGGAAGAAGGCGAAAGCUUGACGGUACCCAAGAAGAAAGCCCCGGCUAACUACGUG
rnacentral:rRNA from 1 species